rnacentral:rRNA from 1 species
UACAGAGGGUGCAAGCGUUGUUCGGAAUUAUUGGGCGUAAAGCGCGUGUAGGCGGCUUUGCAAGUCGGGUGUGAAAGCCCUCGGCUCAACCGAGGAAGUGCGCCCGAAACUGCAGAGCUUGAGUGCCGGAGAGGAUGGCGGAAUUCCCCAAGUAGAGGUGAAAUUCGUAGAUAUGGGGAGGAACACCGGUGGCGAAGGCGGCCAUCUGGACGGUCACUGACGCUGAGGUGCGAAAGCGUGGGGAGCAAACGGG